rnacentral:rRNA from 1 species
UACGUAGGGGGCAAGCGUUGUCCGGAAUCAUUGGGCGUAAAGCGCGUGUAGGCGGCCCGGUAAGUCCGCUGUGAAAGUCCAGGGCUCAACCCUGGGAUGCCGGUGGAUACUGUCGGGCUCGAGUCCGGAAGAGGCGAGUGGAAUUCCUGGUGUAGCGGUGAAAUGCGCAGAUAUCAGGAGGAACACCGAUGGCGAAGGCAGCUCGCUGGGACGGUACUGACGCUGAGGCGCGAAAGCGUGGGGAGCAAACAGG